UUGACCUCGGAUCAGGCAGGAGU
rnacentral:rRNA from 1 species